rnacentral:rRNA from 1 species
GUGAGGAAUAUUGCGCAAUGGAGGCAACUCUGACGCAGCCAUGCCGCGUGCAGGAAGAAGGCGCUACGCGUUGUAAACUGCUUUUAACCGGGAAGAAACCCCAGGACGUGUCCUGGGUUGACGGUACCGGAGGAAUAAGCACCGGCUAACUUCGUGCCAGCAGCCGCGGUAAUACGAAGGGUGCAAGCGUUAUCCGGAUUCAUUGGGUUUAAAGGGUGCGUAGGCGGAGCGUUAAGUCAGUGGUGAAAUCCUGCAGCUUAACUGUAGACUUGCCAUUGAUACUGGCGCUCUUGAGUGCGCUUGAAGUGGGCGGAAUGUGCCGUGUAGCGGUGAAAUGCUUAGAUAUGGCACAGAACACCAAUUGCGAAGGCAGCUCACUAAGGCGAUACUGACGCUGAGGCAUGAAAGCGUGGGGAUCGAACAGGAUUAGAUACCCCUGUAGUCC